rnacentral:rRNA from 1 species
CAGCACCUCAAGUGGUCAGGAUGAUUAUUGGGCCUAAAGCAUCCGUAGCCGGCGCUGUAAGUUUUCGGUUAAAUCUGUACGCUCAACGUACAGGCUGCCGGGAAUACUGCAGCGCUAGGGAGUGGGAGAGGUAGACGGUACUCGGUAGGAAGGGGUAAAAUCCUUUGAUCUAUUGAUGACCACCUGUGGCGAAGGCAGUCUACCAGAACACGUCCGACGGUGAGGGAUGAAAGCUGGGGGAGCAAACCGGAUUAGAUACCCGAGUAGUCC